rnacentral:lncRNA from 1 species
AUGGUGAAGUUGGCAGCUGCCCUUUUGUGUGCAGGUUGCUUUCUGCUCACGGUCACAGGCAAUGAUGAUUUUGACUUAGCAGAUGCUCUUGACAAAGGUACCCCAAAGCCUCCUCCAGCUACCAAAAAGCCUUCAGUGGAUGGCAACUCCAGACCUAAGCUGUAUCCUGACCUUAGACCACACGGAGGUGGCAACGGAAACAAUGAUCCCGACUUUCACUUAGGAGAUGCCCUCGGUGCUGGUGAUGGUCCUCCUCCGAACCCUCAGCCAUACCCACGUCCACGUCCACAGCCAGGAAGCCAUAUUAAUUCUGGUGAUUUUAAUGAUUUGGAUCUCAAUGAUGGAAGACCUCCACCUCCAGGACCAGCAGGUAACCUACAGUUAUUCAGGUCCUUCACACUGGUUCACAGUCCUCCUCUCAACAUAUCAUAG